rnacentral:rRNA from 1 species
AGGAAAGCAGGGGAUCGUAAGACCUUGCGCUUUUGGAGCGGCCGAUGUCUGAUUAGCUAGUUGGUGAGGUAAAGGCUUACCAAGGCUUCGAUCAGUAGCUGGUCUGAGAGGACGACCAGCCACACUGGGACUGAGACACGGCCCAGACUCCUACGGGAGGCAGCAGUGGGGAAUUUUGGACAAUGGGGGCAACCCUGAUCCAGCCAUGCCGCGUGAGUGAAGAAGGCCUUCGGGUUGUAAAGCUCUUUCAGCCGGAACGAAAAGGUUACGGUUAAUACCCGUGACUAAUGACGGUACCGGAAGAAGAAGCACCGGCUAACUACGUGCCAGCAGCCGCGGUAAUACGUAGGGUGCGAGCGUUAAUCGGAAUUACUGGGCGUAAAGCGUGCGCAGGCGGUUUUGUAAGUCAGAUGUGAAAUCCCCGGGCUUAACCUGGGAACUGCGUUUGAAACUACAAAGCU